AUUACUGAAAAAAUAGAAAACAUUUUAUACAUUGAUACAAUAAGGCUGAAAGUAAAUGAAAUUAACAGACUAAUAUUAUUUUCAUUUCAAAACAAUUGAAUUGAAAUGUAGAUAUAAAUAAGAGAUUUAACAUUUAUUGUAAUUGUUAAAAUGAGAGUAUUUCAUAAAAUUCUCAGUUGUACAUUGUAAUUAGAAAAUGUUACUACAACUGAAUAUUUGCAGUUUGCUUGUACAUAUUUGAAUAGAAAUUUCUUUUCUAUUUUAUUUCCUGGCCAAAUCAAUUGCAAAGUGUGCAGUCAAAAACCAAUAUUUUCCAUUGUUAAAAUUAACGAUACAGAAUGCUUACCUUGCUGAGAAGUUAUGUAAAUGGAAGUCUCAGUUGAGAUACAAGAACGUCCUAAUUCCUUUUCGUUAAUUGUGAAUGAUGUUUUGAAGUUCUUAUCCAUUGUAUUGAUAUGCUGAGGAAGGCUUAGAAUUAUAAACUGAAAUUUUUGUUCCAAUUGCUGUAAAAAUGCAGAAAAUGUCAUAUGAAUCAAUUUUAUCAUAUAGCAAGCAGAAAAUUAACUAAACAUUAUCAUUUUAUGUUUCUGAAAAGUACUUGAUUGUUUAGCAGGUGCCAAGCAAAAAAUAAGCUGAUAUUUUGUAAAAUGCAUUAGUAGUUUACGUUGGAAUACAUUAAUUUGUUAAAAAUACUGUUUUAUGUACUUUUACUUUAUAGGAAACAAGUGAAUUUGAGAGAAAACAUAACAAAAAUAUUUGUAUUUCAAAUUAUUUUUAAAAUGAGUAAUUUUAGAAAAUUGUGCUUUGCAGUCAGCAAAAUACGGACGGACAGUCUGUUUAUAUUACUAUUAAAGAUUUGUACAUCUAAAUAUUUGAAAUUUGGUUGUAUUUGUAUUGAAAGGUGAAGGAAUGAAAGCAUACGAAUAGGUCCAGGUAUCAAAAUUUUUAAUUAUAUGAAAACUCAUGCAUUAAUGUUAAUUUGUGAAAACCAAUGAAUUUAGUUUGGAAUCAACGAGGUAUUAGCUGUUUUUGUCACCUUUAAUAUUUAUUAUAUUCAUAGGUUACAUUGUCGAAUGUUUAUCUUCAAAAAUAACGAAAAUCAUUUCGGGACGAAAUAAAAAAAUGCAUACCUCAUGUAAUGAACCAUUAAAAGAACACAUUUUCAUAAAAAUUUUUUAGGCUCUAACACUUUUACUACAAGAAAAUUCCAAAAAUUGCAGAGAUAAUUUUGGAAAAAGAAGUUUCCAUAAGAAUAGCGUUACUUGAAAGAGGCAUUGUUGAUCAGCCAAUCAGAGACCAGCAGUAAACUUGUGGUUUUCAGUGCCAACUUUUGCGAAUGUAGGCGCGAACAUUUUCAAAUUUGAAACUCUAAUUCAGCGAUCCGUCCCCCCAAAAAAACGGGCGCGAAUAAAAUAUUGGAUGUUUUAAACGAUGACUAAAGUGUAAAAUUCAUACCUUGUAUAAACAGUGAAGUUGAGUGGAGGCCUCAAUAAAUAGAAAUUCAAGGAGGCCGUAAUUCGUUUGCACCAAAAGAAGUCCCUAUCAGUUAAAUCAUUUUAGACGAUUUAUGUGGCUAUUAACAGUAUGUCGAAGAAGUCUUGGCAUUAGAAACUAAUUUCCAUCCAGUUACUAUAAAAACACAAAAAAUGUCUUAGAAAUGAUUAUAAUAUUCUAGCAAGGCGAAAAUUAAUGAAAAAUCCUCAUCUUUCUAUCUCUGAGAUGGCUUCGAUCGUUUUAUAUGUACCAAAUAAAAACAAAUUGUUAUUUUGUAAAAUAUUUUAAUAGUUGACGUUGGAAUACCGUCAUUUGUUAGAAAUACUUCUGUGUAUACUUUUGUUUUAUGGAAAACAAUCGAAUUUAAGACAAAAUAUAAGAAAGAUACUGGUAA
rnacentral:lncRNA from 1 species